rnacentral:rRNA from 1 species
GAGUUUGAUCCUGGCUCAGAUUGAACGCUGGCGGCAUGCCUUACACAUGCAAGUCGAACGGCAGCAUGAUCUAGCUUGCUAGAUUGAUGGCGAGUGGCGAACGGGUGAGUAAUACAUCGGAACGUGCCCUGUAGUGGGGAGUAACUAGUCGAAGAAUUAGUCUAAUAACCGCCAUACGACCUCGAGGGUGGAAAGUAGGGGGACCGGCCAAGGCCGUCCAUGCUAUAGGAGCGGCCGAUGUCUGAUUAGCUAGUUGGUGGGGU